CACGGGGGGAGCAAGCGUUGUUCGGAAUCACUGGGCGUAAAGGGCGUGUAGGCGGUCAAGUAAGUGGAAUGUGAAAGCCCCCGGCUUACCCGGGGAUCUGCAUCCCAAACUGCUUGGCUUGAGUACGGGAGAGGAUAGGGGAAUUCCUGGUGUAGCGGUGAAAUGCGUAGAUAUUGGGAAGAACACCGGUGGCGAAGGCGGCCAUCUGGACCGCAACUGACGCUGAGGCGCGAAAGCGUGGGGAGCAAACAGG
rnacentral:rRNA from 1 species